AGAGUUUGAUCAUGGCUCAGGACGAACGCUGGCGGCGUGCCUAACACAUGCAAGUUGAGCGACGAACCAGGGCUUGCCCUGGGGCAAAGCAGCGAACGGGUGAGUAACACGUGGGUAACCUGCCCCGAUGACCGGGACAACUCGAGGAAACUCGGGCUAAUACCGGAUGUGCUCGCCGGACAUCAGUCCGGCGCGUAAAGGAAGCUUCGGCCUCCGCUUCGGGAGGGGCCCGCGGCCCAUUAGCUUGUUGGUGAGGUAAUGGCCCACCAAGGCAACGAUGGGUAGCUGGUCUGAGAGGACGAUCAGCCACACUGGGACUGAGACACGGCCCAGACUCCUACGGGAGGCAGCAGUGGGGAAUCUUGCGCAAUGCGCGAAAGCGUGACGCAGCAACGCCGCGUGGGGGAAGAAGGCCUUCGGGUUGUAAACCCCUUUCAGGAGGGACGAAGGUUCGGCGGUGAAUAGCCGUCCGGACUGACGGUACCUCCACAAGAAGCCCCGGCUAACUACGUGCCAGCAGCCGCGGUA
rnacentral:rRNA from 1 species